GGAAUGAAGAGGGAGGUCAGGAUGAUGUCUCUGCCGUGAUCUAAACGCAGGACAGCCGAAAACCCAGAGGAGGAAUCAACAUUCCAGGACGCGUACAUUGAUAAGCUACACUACAGCAGCCUACAGAACUGAGGUAUGAGACUGAGAAAGAGAGAUCACACAGCAGACCAAGGAGAAAGGACUCAAAGCUACUUUCUUGGACUUCGUGAAGAGAAAAAACUGCAGCAAACAGCUGAAGGUUGGUUAGGGAGUGUUCAGGGGCCAGAACACUCCCACGAGAGAGAGACUGGUUACCCAGCAGCCUUGAAAGGCUCUUCCUGGACUAAAGGUAAAGGGAGGGGCUUAAAAGGACUGAGACAAGUGUAAUAA